rnacentral:misc_RNA from 1 species
GGGCCUCAAGUCCACUAACAGAUACAAUACUCAAAACUUUUGAUGCUUUCUCUUAUCAUAUAAUUAAAAUGUAGCACACAACGACUACUGGAUUUUGGGAGGCAGACCAAUGCAUCAUACGAUUGGAAGAUAGAAUAUAUCAAAGCACAACAAAAGUGAAAAAGAUUAAAACAUUGUUUGUAUCAGCUAAAAAUUUCAGAACGCACUAAAAAUUUACAGUAACUGUCAAUUAUUAUACAUUUACCCUAUGCUACACGGACCGAUGGCUUCAUUCCCUACUCCAUAUCUCAAUUAUGUCAAUGCAUAAAUUCGGCAGAACUUAAAAGUAAUAUUUCAUGUUCAAAGUUCACAGGGAUGAUAAUCUUCAACUGCAUCAAUACUGUCUUUGAACCUAACAAGAUGAGGAAAAUAAAGAGUUACGAUCUAAACCUACAGUAUAGCAAAUAUAAAAUACAAAAAUCAUUUUUUUUCCAGCAAAAAUUAUCAAAACCCCAAACACCUGGCAUAACCAAAAAUGCUUAUUACAAAGUUUAAGCUGCAAAAGUGCAAGGUCUCUAGCAGCCAUUUAGAACAGUAGAUGCCAACAUAUUUAAACAUCUCAAGAAAUCUUUUAACCAAAAUCCCCGCCCUAAAAGAAGACGAACAAUGGUGGGGAACUGGGGAUUGAGACAAGGAGGGCACAGGCCUCCUUCCAACAACCACAACCACAACCACCACCCCCCUUGCACCUUCACCCUCCACACCGUACCCCUUAGUUAGAGAAUUGCCACUGUAGAAAAAAGAACUACUUAUAUUCACAAGGGAAGAGACUUCAAAUACUUUUUGGGUAAUAUUUACUCCAUCAGUAAGCUGGGUAAUAUUUACUCCAUCAGUAAGCUGGAUAAUAUAGAUGGAAGCUAUCUUGUAGUUUAUUUACUCCAUCAGAAACACAAGACAAGGCAGGAGGGGCAGAUUACUUGCAGUAAGCUGAAUGAUAUUGGAGCCACUAGCAAAGUGUCCAUUUCAUCAAAAGUUUGUCAGAGUAGGAUAUUCACACAAGUUUGCUACACAAGAAGCGCACGUUCUGUUUAUGAAAGGAAAACCUCUCAGUGAGUUACGAACACACCCAGUUCACAAAUGCUGUAAUAACUAUAUGUAAUCACAUUUCAAGGAUUUGAUAUUUCUAAUACUUAACAACAUCAUCUUCUCAAGUCAGUUCACCCCAUACAUGAAAUGCACAACCAAAAAUACAAAAACUCCAAUCACAUUGACCAGGCCCAGCUAGAAGACCAAUUGAUUGUAAAUGGAGUUAUGCAACAACCAGUGACUCUACUUCAUCCCAUCAUCUUGCAAAUGAGGGAAACCAUUUAAACUCGCAGCCCAUAAGAAAUAAUUGAACUAAUUAACAGGUGAAGUGGUAAAAGAAACUAUGCAAGUGUAUCUCCAGGGCCUUAUUAUUUGCACACUGGUCACUUGUGCAUAAAGCCAUAAACCAAUAAAAUAACAACACAACCAUUCAUUUCCUUAAUAUUAAUUUGCGUAAUAAAACCAUUAAGAUUCACAGUGCAAAUGACUCACCAUAAAAAAAAAAAAAUGCAAUUCAUACACAUCUUUACCACUGAUGAUGCUCCAUUUUGGGGCCUACUCUCCUAAAUAUUAACCAAUAAUAGUUGUUGCUCAUCAAUUGGACAAAAGGCCUAGACAUGCAGCUUUCAAAAGACUGAACAUAACUAGAUCUCCAUUAUUUGUCCUCCUUUUUCACUGCUAAAACCACAAUAUUGAGAAUUGCAUAGAGAAUGAACUGCCUGGUAAAAAACUUCGCUCUGCAUGGACAAAGUUUAAAUCUCUUUUUUGGACAACAUUUUUUACAAAUUGUUCAAUUCCAUACAAGGGCUUGUAAGGGAGUUACUUUCCACAUUCACUAUAGCAGUAACAAUGCAGAUUACAUAUAUCUUUUAACUCAUAUAACCUUCUCUCUACAAACAAAGCAUAUAUAAGAUCACCAAAAUUGACAGGAUAAUGAACUUGGUAGAGCCAAUUCGCACAAAUAACACACACCAAAGUCUCCUGGUCUUUUCAAUGUGCCACAUGGCAAGUGAAAAUAACCUCCUUUCUUCCCUCAAAUCAACUAUACUUUCAUCUAAAAUAAAAUUAUUGGAACAAAAGGAUAGAAUAGUUCAACGCUAGGAGACGGAGUAACAGCAUAACGUCAAAUAGCAGUUCUAGUGCAUUAUCAAAACCUAUAGAGCAGAAGGAAGAACCCAAAUUACCAUGAACCCAGAAAAAACCUUAAAGCCCACCACACAAUCAAGAGUCACCAAGCAACAGAAAAAUGUAAAAUUCAAAAAAAAAUCAAUAGAUUCUUUUAACAAAUUAAACAAAGCCCAAAUUUUUAACAUUUGAUAAUAAGCCAAAAAUAAUAGAAGCUCAGACACAAAACACGACGACAGUCGAAAAAAAAAGGGGAGCAAAGAAAAGCCUUCAAUUCUGCAGUUUCAAAAUCCUAACAAAAAAUGGUUGAAGCAUAAGCAUGUACGCGUAAACGAGACCUGAAGGGAAAAAGAAGUAACCUUUUGGGGAGAAACCAGCUCUCAGGGAACUGCACAAGCAUGAGAAGAAGACCAUGAAAAGUGAGAGCUUGAAGGUUAAUCGAAGCGCACAUCUUCAACUGUAUGACACCUAGUUGUGUAGAGAAAGGGGGAAAAGAAAAAGGUUCAAUCUAAAAGAGAAGGAUAUGGGCUGAAGGAAAGUGAAGAGGAUGGUGGCUUUUGUGGAGAUAGAGGUGAGUGGGGUAGGGCUUAAAAAUUGCACGACAACCGAGGCUGGCAGUGCAGCGAGGAGGAUUUGGGACAAUGGGGGGGUGGCUUGGUUGCGUAUCCGAGGUGUCUUUCGUUGUCUGUUUGAAUAUGAAAUGAACCCCCGGCCUCUCUCUUUCUUGUUAUCUUC